rnacentral:rRNA from 1 species
UGGAGAGUUUGAUCCUGGCUCAGGACGAACGCUGGCGGCGUGCUUAACAACAAUGCAGUCGAACGGAAAGGCCUCUUCGGAGGUACUCGAGUGGCGAACGGGUGAGUAACACGUGGGUAAUCUGCCCUGCACUUCGGGAUAAGCCUGGGAAACUGGGUCUAAUACCGGAUAGGACCUUUUGGCGCAUGCCUUUUGGUGGAAAGCUUUUGCGGUGUGGGAUGGGCCCGCGGCCUAUCAGCUUGUUGGUGGGGUGACGGCCUACCAAGGCGACGACGGGUAGCCGGCCUGAGAGGGUGUCCGGCCACACUGGGACUGAGAUACGGCCCAGACUCCUACGGGAGGCAGCAGUGGGGAAUAUUGCACAAUGGGCGCAAGCCUGAUGCAGCGACGCCGCGUGGGGGAUGACGGCCUUCGGGUUGUAAACCUCUUUCAGCAGGGACGAAGCGCAAGUGACGGUACCUGCAGAAGAAGCACCGGCCAACUACGUGCCAGCAGCCGCGGUA